rnacentral:rRNA from 1 species
AUAUUGGACAAUGGGCGAAAGCCUAAGCCAGCCAUGCCGCUGGUGUGCAGAAGUCCUCCGGUUUUAAACGCACUUUAAGGUGUGAGGAAGGGCAGUAAGUUAAUACCUUGAUGUUUUGACGAUACUGUCCGAAUAAGCACAGGCUAGCUUCGUGCCAGCAGCCGCGGUAAUAUGAAGGGUGCAAGCGUUAAUCGGACUUACUGGGCGUAAAGCGCGCGUAGGUGGUUCGUUAAGUUGGAUGUGAAAGCCCCGGGCUCAACCUGGGAACUGCAUCCAAAACUGGCGAGCUAGAGUAAGGUAGAGGGUAGUGGAAUUUCCUGUGUAGCGGUGAAAUGCGUAGGUAUAGGAAGGAACACCAGUGGCGAAGGCGACCACCUGGACUGAUACUGACACUGAGGUGCGAAAGCGUGGGGAGCAAACAGG